rnacentral:lncRNA from 1 species
AGUUGCCUAAGAUUAAAAUCAAGUAAAUGAUAAUCGAAUACCUCCAAUGUCCGAAUGUCGGUUUCCAAAUAGUUUUGCUUGCUGUGAACUUUGAUGAAGGUUAAAAUGUUGAACUUUCAUCUAACUCCCCAUUUUCCACACCUCCCUGUCCUAAAAUAUAAGGCAAUUGUGUUGUAUUCAUCAAGAUGCAAGAGUUAUUCAAAGCAAUUUGGCAGCAGCUCUUGAUAAGCUCUCAAUUCUGCCUUUUUCGUCUAGCUGCCCCUCACACACAGUCCUGGCAAACGGUGAAUGAAAAGACUCACCAAAAACUGUCCAGUAAACAGGCCAGGCAGCAACCGAUUCAGCAUGAAGGGAUCCAGUCAGGGGAGGAGAGGGAAGUAAAGAUGGUUGAGCAGGUGACAGAAGAGGUUAAAGACGAUGAACGUCCUCUGAUCUCCGUUCUCCAUCCUGUCCUCUCGGUCAACGGCGCACUACCUUUGGAUGAGUGGUGCGUGUAUCCCAGUGCCCCUCUUACACUCAGCGAGGGCUCCAUGCGCUCAGACAGUGUGGAGGACUGUCUGGAGCCAGCCAAGAACACAGACCUCCUGACGGGUGACCUAAGGUUGUCAGAAGUAAGACAGGAGCAGAUCGGUUCCAUUGUGCUGAAUCUCAAAGUAUCCCAGGUACUGCUGCAGCAGGGCGACGCCAGCCUAGAUGUUGUGGAGAGCUGCCUCCGGACCAGGGGAGGGAACGACGAGGUGGACUGUAGAGAAGCUUCCCCCACAAACCCAUCCAAGUAUAGGAGUGCUGUCGGCCCGCCUUCACCUCGCUACCGUCGGCCACCUCGUCCUCUAGCCAAGACACUGGAAAGACAAGGACAUUAUGGAGAGCGACCGCAGAGUCAGGAGCGAGAGAGAGAAGAGCUGACCUUUGGGAUGGCUCCUUCUCCCUUUUUGAACAAUGAUUGUCAGGAAUAUAGAAAGAAAUCUUAUGAGCAGACUAAUCGAAGUAGCUUGAUUAACAAGGGAUCACUUGAUAUUCAUCCAAGACCAAAGCAUGAGGAAGUUGGAGGCAUAAAUUCCAGGGCUUGGUCCCACCUUCAGGAUCUCCCUGGAACACGGAAAAUAAAUGAGCUCAUAGAGAGGUCAUGCGCCUCACCAGACUUUCUGGAAGGGAUCCAGUCGUCUCUACAGCAGAUGGGCGUCCAGGCCCAAGCCACAAAGACCGAUAGCAGCAGUGAGAGUGAGUCUGACAGAGAUUUCCACACAGUCAAUCAGACCUUCGCGUUGACUUCUAAAGGCUGUGACGACCAAGAGCCUUCACAGGAGGAAUCCAACUCUGAUACAGACGAUCGCCACACUACCCUGAGAUCAUGUCCUACUGUGCACAACCCCGACCCAAAAGCUACCCAGAGUCAAGUAAGGGAAUCUUUCAUCCCUAAACAAAUAGUCAUUGACUGUGUUGCAGCCACACAGGAUAUUCCUGAUGCCACAGAAUGGUGUAUUCUGUGGACGAGUGUAUUGAGUGUGUUACCCUUUUGAAUCCGAUCCAGGAUCCUGGCUCAGAAGAGGGUGGAGAUGUAAUCCCAGUGGUGUUCGGACCAGAGGGUUGCAGACCAGAAGGACAUUUAGCCAACAUCACACACUGCGGUCAGAAAUUAGUAUCAAAGCCUGUUAACUAUUAUUUAUAUAACCCAUGCACAAAGAAAAUAAGCUAUACGUGCAUGGAUUUAAAUUCAGAUAUCAGAAACUAUGGGUGAAACGGUCCUCAUUACUCUUUAAUAUUUAAUAUUAUCGUUUUAUUAAACAGACUCCCUGUUUUGUGGGAAAAGACGUUUAAAGUUAUGAACCAGUUCAUAAUAUUUAAAUAUUAAUACAAAGCAGUAAUGGCCAAUAAUGCUCCUCUCUAAUCACUUCAUCCAGAGGAUGAAUGUGUUCUGAGUGAAAAGGAAAUGCCCUUCGAUGGGGACUCUGCUAGACCAGCGCUGUCGAGACUCAAGAACACCACAUCAGACCCAUCAUGCCUGGCUCAAGUCGACUCAGACAUGUAAGUGUCCACAUAUAUUGAUGUAUCUUUAUAUACCUUUUCCUGUACGAUUGUAUAGGCAAAAACUCUUGAGAUACCUAAGAGGCAGAGAUACAUAAGAGGCCUACAGCCUAUGUAAAGGUCUUCCUUCUGUGACGCAAUAAUUAUAAGAAGUAUUUUAAAGCCAUCCUUUUUGGUCAAAUAAUGAGGGGAAUUCUGAUGAUCCAUGAACAGGCUGCAACACUUUACAGAGCUGGCUGAACUCUCCAGCAUCACAGGCUCUCCUGGCCAGCACCAAGACGGGCUCUUUCGGACCUCCCUCAACAGGCCUCCUCCACCGUGCAACAGCACACCACGGAGCCUGGGUAAACACACUGCCCCUCCUCCUUUACCUUGAGCCCUGUGCUCCUUAGAGGAGCAGAAUGUCCAAACCUUUUUUUAGGGCUGAAUAGUUUCCAUGUUUUUUAAAAUAGUUGUAUAUCUUUUGUUCUGUUGAUGUUUGUGUUGUAUAAUUCUAUUCAACAGCGCAUUUGAAAUCCAACCCUACGGGCACUGAGGUGACCAACAGCCCCAUCCUGGAGGCUCCAGCAGUCCAGUGGACUUCUAUGUCUUUGAACUCUGAGAGCUUUACCACAGCAGCUGCAGAUGUUUCAGGGGACGGCCUCGUAAGUGGCCAAUGCUGUCAACAGUCCGAAACCAUUUGGCUACUUCUCUGGUUGAAUAUCAUUGUCUGGGAUUGCACUGGUUAAUUAUCAACUAUCUUUCUUUUGCCAUUACCAGCAGGACAACCUGGUGGCCACAAACACUAUUCAGUCUCCAUUCUUGAAAGUCGACCCUGGCCCCCAGCCUCCUAGUCACCUCCUGCAGAGCCCUGACUUGAACCUUGCUGGCUCCACGGACCGGGCACAGUGUCCUGGGCCUGGGAAGGAGCAGAGAGGAGCCGGGAGGGAGGCAGUGGAGGGAAGGCAAGAGGAGCAACAUGCCGAGGGAGCAGGACCGUGUGCAGGGUUGGAUGAGGGGGAUAGAAGUGGACAGCAGGGGGAUGGGAAGGGCCACUGUGUGGAGGCAGCGGAGCAUGCAGGACCGGACCACCGAGGCGCCACUGAGCAGCCUCUGCCUGGAGGCUGUGGCGCUGCUAGUGUUAUGAACAGAGGUUGGCAAAACACACAACCCGUCACUUGAAUCCAAGUGAUGCACACAUUCAUCACGUGACGAUCCCAUCUGAAUGUAUGUAGUUAUAUUUACUGUCCUUG